AGCAGUCGCCGCGGUAACACGAAGGGUGCAAGCGUUACUCGGAAUUACUGGGCGUAAAGCGUGUGUAGGUGGUUGUUUAAGUCUGUCGUGAAAGCCCUGGGCUCAACCUGGGAAUUGCGAUGGAUACUGGGCGACUAGAGGGCGGUAGAGGAUAGUGGAAUUUCCGGUGUAGCAGUGAAAUGCGUAGAGAUCGGAAGGAACAUCUGUGGCGAAGGCGACUAUCUGGGCCAACACUGACACUGAGGCACGAAAGCGUGGGGAGCAAACAGGAUUAGAUACCCGGGUAGUCCCUGUCUCUUAUAC
rnacentral:rRNA from 1 species